GACGAACGCUGGCGGCGUGCUUAACACAUGCAAGUCGAACGGUAAGGCCCUGCUUUUGUGGGGUGCUCGAGUGGCGAACGGGUGAGUAACACGUGAGUAACCUGCCCUUGACUUUGGGAUAACUUCAGGAAACUGGGGCUAAUACCGGAUAGGAGCUCCUGCUGCAUGGUGGGGGUUGGAAAGUUUCGGCGGUUGGGGAUGGACUCGCGGCUUAUCAGCUUGUUGGUGGGGUAGUGGCUUACCAAGGCUUUGACGGGUAGCCGGCCUGAGAGGGUGACCGGCCACAUUGGGACUGAGAUACGGCCCAGACUCCUACGGGAGGCAGCAGUGGGGAAUAUUGCACAAUGGGCGGAAGCCUGAUGCAGCAACGCCGCGUGCGGGAUGACGGCCUUCGGGUUGUAAACCGCUUUCGCCUGUGACGAAGCGUGAGUGACGGUAAUGGGUAAAGAAGCACCGGCUAACUACGUGCCAGCAGCCGCGGUGAUACGUAGGGUGCGAGCGUUGUCCGGAUUUAUUGGGCGUAAAGGGCUCGUAGGUGGUUGAUCGCGUCGGAAGUGUAAUCUUGGGGCUUAACCCUGAGCGUGCUUUCGAUACGGGUUGACUUGAGGAAGGUAGGGGAGAAUGGAAUUCCUGGUGGAGCGGUGGAAUGCGCAGAUAUCAGGAGGAACACCAGUGGCGAAGGCGGUUCUCUGGGCCUUUCCUGACGCUGAGGAGCGAAAGCGUGGGGAGCGAACAGGCUUAGAUACCCUGGUAGUCCACGCUGUAAACGGUGGGUACUAGGUGUGGGGUCCAUUCCACGGGUUCCGUGCCGUAGCUAACGCUUUAAGUACCCCGCCUGGGGAGUACGGCCGCAAGGCUAAAACUCAAAGGAAUUGACGGGGCCCCGCACAAGCGGCGGAGCAUGCGGAUUAAUUCGAUGCAACGCGUAGAACCUUACCUGGGUUUGACAUGGAUCGGGAGCGCUCAGAGAUGGGUGUGCCUCUUUUGGGGUCGGUUCACAGGUGGUGCAUGGCUGUCGUCAGCUCGUGUCGUGAGAUGUUGGGUUAAGUCCCGCAACGAGCGCAACCCUUGUUCACUGUUGCCAGCACGUUAUGGUGGGGACUCAGUGGAGACCGCCGGGGUCAACUCGGAGGAAGGUGGGGAUGACGUCAAGUCAUCAUGCCCCUUAUGUCCAGGGCUUCACGCAUGCUACAAUGGCUGGUACAGAGAGUGGCGAGCCUGUGAGGGUGAGCGAAUCUCGGAAAGCCGGUCUCAGUUCGGAUUGGGGUCUGCAACUCGACCUCAUGAAGUCGGAGUCGCUAGUAAUCGCAGAUCAGCAACGCUGCGGUGAAUACGUUCCCGGG
rnacentral:rRNA from 1 species